AGUGAACGCUGGCGGUAGGCCUAACACAUGCAAGUCGAACGGCAGCACAGUAAGAGCUUGCUCUUACGGGUGGCGAGUGGCGGACGGGUGAGGAAUACAUCGGAAUCUACUUUUUCGUGGGGGAUAACGUAGGGAAACUUACGCUGAUACCGCAUACGACCUACGGGUGAAAGCAGUGGAUCUUCGGACCUUGCGCGAUUGAAUGAGCCGAUGUCGGAUUAGCUAGUUGGCGGGGUAAGGGCCCACCAAGGCGACGAUCCGUAGCUGGUCUGAGAGGAUGAUCAGCCACACUGGAACUGAGACACGGUCCAGACUCCUACGGGAGGCAGCAGUGGGGAAUAUUGGACAAUGGGCGCAAGCCUGAUCCAGCCAUACCGCGUGGGUGAAGAAGGCCUUCGGGUUGUAAAGCCCUUUUGUUGGGAAAGAAAAGCAGCAGGUUAAUACCCCGCUGUUCUGACGGUACCCAAAGAAUAAGCACCGGCUAACUUCGUG
rnacentral:rRNA from 1 species